AACGAACGCUGGCGGCAGGCCUAACACAUGCAAGUCGAACGCCCCGCAAGGGGAGUGGCAGACGGGUGAGUAACACGUGGGAACGUGCCCUAAGGUUCGGAAUAUUCCCGGGAAACUGGGAGCAAUACCGAAUGUGACCGCAAGGUGAAAGAUUUAUCGCCUUAGGAUCGGCCCGCGUCGGAUUGCUUGUGGUGGGGUAAAAGCCUACCAAGGCGACGAUCCGUAGCUGGUCUGAGAGGACGACCAGCCACACUGGGACUGAGACACGGCCCAGACUCCUACGGGAGGCAGCAGUGGGGAAUCUUGGACAAUGGGCG
rnacentral:rRNA from 1 species